GGGCGGUGAGGAUUCUUAGCACGGAAGGGACGAUCGGUGUUGUCACCGUCGUCUGAUAUUUCGAGCGAAAGUUGUGCACCUGAGCAC